ensembl:lncRNA
ACACUGUGCCAGUGGACCUUCUGCAUGCAGGGGUAGCAGUGGGUGAACCCUGCUAAGACAGCUUUGCCUCCACCUCUUGUCCCUGUACAGACAGCCGUGGGAGGCCUGUUUGAGGAAGGCUUUUUUCAACAAUCCACCUGGAAAGAAAUGGAGAAAUGAAGAGGGUUUUGUUUGGGCAUAAUCCAGUCCCACCACAUGAUGCUGACUGAUCCGUGAUAAAACUUUCAGAGCUCAGCAGGUGUUCGGGGAGUGAGUGCAGCCACCCAUUUGGAACAGCAGGCAGCCACCAGAGAGAGGGAUCUGAAACAGAGGCCAAAGGGAUGAAACACAGGAGGUCAGAUGUGAGCCACGAAGCCAAGUAACGCUUGUGUGAUUUACCAUAGAGAAAGGACCCCGUGUGUACUAGGAUUGUAAAGAUCAGCUAGACACAUUUCUCAUAGAGGCUGGGUUCGUGUUUGCACAGUGGUGGAAUAAUUUCUGCUCUUCUUUGUCCCGGUUAGUUCCUCAAAUGAAGAACUUCGGAAGAAGCACUCAAGAGGUCAAGGAUAACAACAGCAAACUUAGCAAGCCAAGGCCUGAAUCCUGUGCAUUACACAUGCUGUGGACAAAGCCUGCAGGUGUCUGAAGUUACAUACGGUGGCCAAUCAACCUAUUGCUAGCAGCUGGAUAACAGCCUGAGAGCCAUAAGGCACUGACACCUGGGAAAGAAAGGAGGGAUAUGCAGAACUAUGCAGUACAAGGUCUCUUUUGGGGGUCAGAGCAAGUAGAUUGGUCACUGCUAGAGUACUCAUCUUUGUGACUGAGAGCUUAUGCAUAUUCAGACACUUCACAGCACAGUCCACUUCUUCCACAUUAGCAUUACUACAUUGCUUGCAGCAAUGGAAAGCUAUUUUCAUUCCUUGAGUUCCUAUUGUCCUAGAACAGUGACAGCUGAGAAGCAACAGCAGGACGAUGAUAAAUACGCAGAGAAUCAAUUCCUGGCUGUUUAUGGGGCCCAGACACUGACUGCACAGCAGGAAGUUUCAGCAGCACAGCUUCAAUUGCUGUAAAUAAUCAGAAGUCAAAGGCACCACGACCCAGACCUGUUGGCUGUCAGAUGAUUCAGAACCUCACGCUAAGGAUAGUAAUGACCCUAAACGCACCCCACGUGCUGUCUGCACAGAGCAGAACUCUGCACGUGGAGCAGCUCAGUAGGUUUGUAUCAGCACUGGUGUAUGUGGAGGAUAAACAAUACCUGCUUGUUCAACACCAGCACACUGGGUGCUGCGCUGCAGAAACUGCACUUCAGAGCUAACUACAAAGAAAGAGGAAUUCGAGAGGCAGAGCUGCUCCUGUCUAACCAGCACAGACUAAGUGACAUCAAGGAGAUAACACAGGCUCGAAUUACCAGACAGGAAAGAGGAUGGAUAAAGAGUCCCUGCACAUAAGCUGGCUCCCCCCUUGGAAAAUACAACACGCAUCCUUUUGCACAACUCCCUCCUGACUGCUUUGGACACGGAGCCUCCCCAGCACACAAGCAGAAAGGCCCACGCAGCCCAGGGCAGAAUGCAUCUCCAUUCCUGAGCUCCUGGAGAGGCGAUCACACCAAACACAAAGCUCAAAAUCCUUUUUAAGGCUUUCACAUGCCGAGAACUUCUUGGUCAAAGGAGCAGCAUGCUAAGCUUGAAGUUUUUCCCACAGAAACUGGGGAUCUGGGAUCUGCGAUACUUUGGUUUAUACAGAAAGUCAAAGGACCUUUCUCAAUUCUUGUAAACUCUGCCCGCUUUAUUACUGAAAUUGGAGCAGCGUCUCCCAGGGGAAACAGAGUCAGCAGCUCACCGAGUUCUGCUCCUACAAAGGGCAAGAGCAAUUCAAAUCAAAGAGAUUAAUUUCCUACAAAGAGUGACAUUUUUGUCUGAAUACAGAGUACCAGAUCUAUCAAAUGCUUUGGAAGAUGUCUAAGUAAAUUGGCGUGGAAAUCUGCUGGUUGAAAUAUAACAAAAAUCAUGGCUUUUUGUCUGAAUCCUCAAAGCCUUGUGCACCGCUCUAUCUUCCAGCUUAGGGAAAAAUAAAUACAGGGAAGCAAACAAAGAACUGAUGGCAAAAGCUGGUCAAAAGAAAGCUGCAACAAAGCAUUUGAUCAGCCUGUAUGAAUGCUGCACUAAUUACUGCCACAGCCUGCACAUACAAGCUCUUUAAACCCAAUUACUGCUGUAACGAUGGGCCACGGCAUGACCAAAGUGUCAUUUCCAAAGGGAUCACCCUGUACUGGCUUGUCCUUUCCCUGCUAGAUUUUUCAUUGCUGUAACUCUGGUCCCUAAAAAACUAUCUGUAAUACCCCUAAGGUAAUGACCUAGCUAAACAAGGCUGUAUUUAUAGUGCCAUCAUUUCCCCUGGUAGUACAUUUCAGCGCAGAGAAAGCAAGUGGAUCCCUUGAGAAUUAUAUCCAAAUAUAUCUACUAUAAAAAAAAAAUCAUUGGCGUGAGUUAAUUAUAGCUUUACCUAGGUCUUCCAGGGACACACAGUGGGCCUUAGCCUGGGAAACCAGAGAAGCAACUCAACAUGACCUUCUCAUUUUCAAGCCAGUUUCCCCUUGCUACUGCUGGGUUAAAUUACCAGUGCCUAACCUAUUUGGUAUGGCAUUUUAGCGUCAUUGCUUUCUGCAGAAUGAAUGUCAGGACUCGCAGUCCUUGCUAGAUGCUGCAUUUUCUGCAGAAGUUGAUGGUGGAGAAUGUAAUACAUUUCACCUUAUUUUUAUGCCAUGCAAGACCAUUUGCUGUGACAAUGAAAUGCCUGGCACUGCCCAAAUUCAUAUCAUUCCAGAGAGGUAACUCCUUUCUCUCUAAUACAUACAGAGUACGUUCUCAUGUGAGAGAGAUGUUCAUUUACUAAAAAAAAAGAUGAAAAUCCUGACCAGGGUAACAUCUUGUGGUUGGACUGGAUGAUCUCAGAGGUCUUUUCCAACCUUGGUGAUUCUAUGGUUCUGUGAUCUUGGAAGUAAACUGCAACUGAGGAUAACAACAGACCUUCUGAAUCGUGAGUACUGAUUCCAGAUGUCUACAGUGAUGUGUGCCUAUGUGCUUCACACCUCAUCUGUAAGCUUGGGUCUUGCAAACAGGUGUCUUCUCAGGCACACUUUCCCAACAGAUAUCCACACCACCUUGCUUGGAACAGCACUGAGGUUUGUGGGAACACAGCCCAGGUUUCCAGCACCAUUCUUCCUGAAACUGUCCUUCCUCAAACAGCCCCAGGGACAGAUGCCAUUUUAACCCAUCACUGCACACCAAUUGUUGGCACAGUGCGCCUCUCCAUUUCAUGCAUCAGAUGCUUUGUUCCAAGCAUUUGAUUUUGGGCAGCCUUUGGGACUGACUGAGCCACACAUAAAGGCUGUGGAAGAAGCCAGCAGAGCUGGAUGAGAACUGCUGCUGUGAUUGCUCCCCUAGCUGCUGCGUUCAGAGAGGGAGAACUAGCACUGCAUGGUGAGACAGUACUGCAGUGCAAAUACCAGAAGGUUCCAAAACAUUUACCCGAGGGGGCAAAGCUUCAGCUCCAGCCCUUAUGAACUUCUGUGGUGCCUUUUUAAGGUUGUUACCUGCCAUUCACCGGCCUCAAGAAUAGACUGCUAUUAGAGCUGGGCUUUUACAUCAGUUUUAGCAACAACAGUAGGACCAGCACUGCUGACCUGAGGAUGCUGAGGUGAUCUCCUCACAAACUGACCCUGACAAUUAAAUUAAACACUUGCUCUGGGACAAAUAUUUAAGUACUGCUUCACUGGCAGGAAGAAAGAUCAGGAAGGAUCUUAAUCAGCUGCUGAACAAAGCAAUAUUUAAAACAGUCUCGUAUCUGUUUCCCCAUUCAGUACUAAAGAGCUUCAACAAGGUUCCGAGGGAAAAAAAAUAGAACUGUAUCACUUGGAUUUGGCCACUGUCUCAGCCAUUUGUCUUAGCAGAAUAUGUAAAUAUGUGAUGGAACCUUUGCCAAACAUACACUGCCUCUUCCCCCCGUCCUCUCCCUGGCUUCAGGGUGGAGACAUUCCUCAAACACACUUGCAAGGCCAGCGAUAAUCUCUAAUGCUUUCCAAGACAUGAGAUGCCAGGAAUGAUAGAGUUCACAGAUGAAGGAGUUUAGUACAAGAACAAGUCUUUCUCCUUUUAAGAGGAUUUUUUUUUUUAAAUCUCUGAUUAUUUUCAAUAAUGCCAUUUAUAUGCUGCAGCAUCACAGCUAGAUCUGUUGGUAAAGUGGUGUGAGGGAAAGACCAUGACAUUGGAAUGGGAAUAAUUUUUUGUCAAACUACUCUGUUUUUUUGUCAGAAAACUUUGCUAUUAAAGAAAACAUGGCAUU